rnacentral:rRNA from 1 species
GUCUAAUCUGCCAAUGAGGUAUUAAAUGGCCGCGGUAUUUUGACCGUGCAAAGGUAGCAUAAUAAUUAGUUUUUUAAUUGAAAGCUGGAAUGAAUGAUUGGACGAGAAAAUAGCUGUCUCAAUUUAAAUUUAUUAGAAUUUUAUUUUUAAGUAAGAAAGCUUAAAUAGUAUUAAAAGACGAGAAGACCCUAUAGAGUUUUAUAGUUUAAUUAUUUUUUAUUUUUUAGAAUUAUUUUAUUAUGAAUAAUUUAAUUAUUUUGUUGGGGCGAUAGAAAAAUUUAAAUAACUUUUUUUAGUAUUAGACCAUUAAUUUAUGAUUAAUUGAUCCAUUUUUUAUGAUUAUAAGAUUAAGUUACCUUAGGGAUAACAGCGUUAUUUUUUUUUAGAGUUCUUAUCGAAAGAAAAGAUUGCGACCUCGAUGUUGGAUUAAAAUUAAGGCUAGGUGUAGAAGCUUAGUUAUUAGGUCUGUUCGACCUUUAAAAUUUUACA